AAGCAUCUGACUGUUCUUUCAUCAUCAGACACAUCUGUAGCUGAGUUUUCUUUUGGCUUGGGUCCAGCUGUUUCAUUCUUUUUGGAGGGACUCUCUAUUAUGAAAACUCUCUCCCCAACAACUCAUCUGCUGCUUAUUGCUUGGAGAGUUGCCUGGGGCACUGUGAGGUCAAAUGACUAGCCUGUGCGCCUUUUGUCUGUAUGGCUGAAGCAGGAGUUGAACCCAGCACAGCAAUAUGUGAGAUGGUUCAAUGGAUAAAGCAUUGGGUCUGGAGUCUGGAAGAGCUGAGUUCAAAUAUGGCCUCAGACACUUCCUAACUGUGACUUCACCCUGCUUGCCUCAUUUUCCUCAUCUAUAGAAUGACCUGGAGAAGAAAAUGGAAAACCACUCCAGGAUGUUUGCCAAAAAUCCCCCCCAAAAAACCCCAAAUGGGGUCAUG
rnacentral:lncRNA from 1 species